AGAGUUUGAUCCUGGCUCAGGACGAACGCUGGCGGCGUGCCUAAUACAUGCAAGUCGAGCGAGCUUGCCUAGAUGAAUUUGGUGCUUGCACCAAAUGAAACUAGAUACAAGCGAGCGGCGGACGGGUGAGUAACACGUGGGUAACCUGCCCAAGAGACUGGGAUAACACCUGGAAACAGAUGCUAAUACCGGAUAACAACACUAGACGCAUGUCUAGAGUUUAAAAGAUGGUUCUGCUAUCACUCUUGGAUGGACCUGCGGUGCAUUAGCUAGUUGGUAAGGUAACGGCUUACCAAGGCAAUGAUGCAUAGCCGAGUUGAGAGACUGAUCGGCCACAUUGGGACUGAGACACGGCCCAAACUCCUACGGGAGGCAGCAGUAGGGAAUCUUCCACAAUGGACGCAAGUCUGAUGGAGCAACGCCGCGUGAGUGAAGAAGGGUUUCGGCUCGUAAAGCUCUGUUGGUAGUGAAGAAAGAUAGAGGUAGUAACUGGCCUUUAUUUGACGGUAAUUACUUAGAAAGUCACGGCUAACUACGUGCCAGCAGCCGCGGUAAUACGUAGGUGGCAAGCGUUGUCCGGAAUUAUUGGGCGUAAAGCGCGCGCAGGCGGAUUGGUCAGUCUGUCUUAAAAGUUCGGGGCUUAACCCCGUGAUGGGAUGGAAACUGCCAAUCUAGAGUAUCGGAGAGGAAAGUGGAAUUCCUAGUGUAGCGGUGAAAUGCGUAGAUAUUAGGAAGAACACCAGUGGCGAAGGCGACUUUCUGGACGAAAACUGACGCUGAGGCGCGAAAGCCAGGGGAGCGAACGGGAUUAGAUACCCCGGUAGUCCUGGCCGUAAACGAUGGGUACUAGGUGUAGGAGGUAUCGACCCCUUCUGUGCCGGAGUUAACGCAAUAAGUACCCCGCCUGGGGAGUACGACCGCAAGGUUGAAACUCAAAGGAAUUGACGGGGGCCCGCACAAGCGGUGGAGUAUGUGGUUUAAUUCGACGCAACGCGAAGAACCUUACCAGGUCUUGACAUUGAUGGACAGAACUAGAGAUAGUUCCUCUUCUUCGGAAGCCAGAAAACAGGUGGUGCACGGUUGUCGUCAGCUCGUGUCGUGAGAUGUUGGGUUAAGUCCCGCAACGAGCGCAA
rnacentral:rRNA from 1 species